UCAUUUUCGCUCCAGUACUCUUCUCGUGAGGGGUCUACAAGAACAGAAACGCCAUGUCCUACCCAAUCCUCUCACCCAAAGACUACACCUUCAAGCAGAUGGGUCUCAUUGCGACCGCACGCAGCGAGCCCGGCAUCCACAUUCUCUACCCGAAUGGGUUCACUCACGAAAAGGAAUGGGACAGGGGUCAAGUCAUCUUCCCGAAGGGUCUGUCAAAGUCAAUGAAAUGGAUGCACGUAAUAAAUUUCCCGGACGACAAAACGGUGAAAGAGUACCGCAUUUUUUAUGAAGGUGGAAAGGAUGAAAAACAUUACGUAGACUACGUAGUCGAUGGCCCAGGGUAUGGCCGC